UACGUAGGGCGCAAGCGUUGUCCGGAUUUAUUGGGCGUAAAGAGCUCGUAGGCGGUCUGUCGCGUCGGCUGUGAAAUCCCGAGGCUCAACCUCGGGUCUGCAGUCGAUACGGGCAAACUAGAGUAUUGCAGGGGAGACUGGAAUUCCUGGUGUAGCGGUGAAAUGCGCAGAUAUCAGGAGGAACACCGGUGGCGAAGGCGGGUCUCUGGGCCGUAACUGACGCUGGAGGAGCGAAAGCGUCGGGGAGCGAACAGG
rnacentral:rRNA from 1 species